GAAGGCGCUGCGCGUGGCAAGAGCCGGCGCACGGCCCCUGGGACCCGUGCUCCGACUCCUCCAGCACUGGACUCUCCAGCAUCCUGCCAGCUGUCUACUGCGCUGGGACAUCAGACUCCAUUUCCACCCUGGAGAUUCCCAGUCUGGGGGCUGGAGGACACCCGUUGCAACGUGGAAGGAAGACAGUGACACGACCCUGGCUGGAUAUGUCCAUCCCAGCACCUGAGCCACCCUGGCUGGCGACCACCCAGCACACCGGGGCUCCGAGGGUGACGUCCUGGCUCCUCACUGUAGGCCCAGCACAGCCCCAGCACAUGUGGAUGUCUGCUGGCUGAGAAUGAAGGAAGGGCCAGGACUGGGACAGGUACAGCCAGACCUUCAGGAACCACUGGCCAGCAUUGAGCCUCUGCAGGAUGGUCCAGUUCAGCAUGGAGGCG